rnacentral:siRNA from 1 species
AGAUCGUGGUGCUGGUUUGUUGAC